rnacentral:lncRNA from 1 species
AAAACAGGUCUAGCUCACGUGCCUUUUUGCGCUCCUUCAUGUUGUUGAUCGGAGUUUUAAAAAUUCGUGGAAGUAUUUAAAAAGCGCCCUGUACAGAUUAUAUGUCAAAUCAUGGCUUCUCCACCUGUUUCCAUGUUGUCUGCUGUUGGAAGAACAUCUAUGAGGGACUGUGAAUAGAAUCUUUAUCUUCUGCUUAUAUACAACACUUACUCAUGGGCCAGUGGCACAGUUUCUAGCUGUACAAGGAUAUCAUGGUGUUUGAUAAGUUGAUGACAAUGAAACUAAUGACCAUGUUAACAUCAGAGGAAAAGCAAACUGGGAGAAGAAAGGACAACAUUGUUUUCGAUCUUGAAGGCCUGCGUAGACAUAGGACCAGGAAGGGGAGCUAGGAGUGGGAGAAGUGCCUGUGACUGAUAUAUGCACUAUCAGAUAGAAAUCCAGUUCAAAAGAAAAUCUGAAAUAGUGAAAUAGCAGAAAUUAUGACUUACAUACUGUAUAAUCUGCUCUAAAACACAAACAUUUGAAUUUAAAAUGUGUUAAAUGCAAAACAGUUCUACUUACAAAAUGAAUCUUUCAGUAAAUUCUAAAUGCAGCUGAAAAGUGAUAUACAUGAAAUGUGUGAAAACAGUGCAAGUUAAGUUUGAUUUUUUGUUGUAUACAAAACUGAAGAACUUGUAUCCAAUUCAUUUUCUAGAUGCACAGUGUUAUUGGAAUUUUUUUCAGAUAAUUUAAAAUUCUACAAGGUGAAGAAAUUUCAAAUAGUAUCUCAAGAAAAAAAGUUUGCACAAUGAAUUGUUUUUCAAAAAUUUCCAGUUGUUUGUUCAUUGUUUUGCCAGUCCAUUACACUUAAACUUUACUUUAUUUAUUCUUAAUAUUUUUGUGAAUGGAUUAGAUUACUCAUUCACAAGGCAAAAUCAAGAAUUUGUUGGUUAAGGUUAAUGUUGUCUCAAGCUAAGUGAUGGGCAGAUUUUAUCCAUUAAUGAUUUAUAGUGAUUUUGAGAAUAAUUAAAAUAAUUUGUCACAUAAAUCAAUAUUAAAUGACCUGGCUGAAAGUUAUAUAUGAAAAAAAAUGUAUUUUGUUCAGAUUGUUCUACAUAGAACUUUUUUGCAAGAUUUUUUAUUAAAAUCAUUUUCGGAAACUGCAUAAAAGAUGCCGCAAUUGGACCUUUAUAACUUUACUAUUUGAACUAUAAGAAUAGCUAUCCUACUCGAUACGGCAUCAGCUUUGUGUCACACCUUGGUUAAGUUUUUGGUAACAGUUUACAUUUUGGCAAAACCUUUGGGGAUAAAGGUUUGAAACUUUCAACACUUGUUAUCAUCACCAUAUCCAAUUUUAGGCAAGGGCACAUAACUCUGUCAAGGACUUUUGCUGAAUUAGGGUACCUUUUAUUUCCUACUAGUUCAUAUUUUGUGUAAACUGUUUGACAUAUGACAUUGAAACUUUUAUCAUUUGAUUAUUAUUAUACCAUAGUCUGUAUCCGUAGGUAAGAGUACAUAACUCUUACAA